rnacentral:rRNA from 1 species
AUUGAACGCUGGCGGCAUGCCUUACACAUGCAAGUCGAACGGUAACAGGUCUUCGGAUGCUGACGAGUGGCGAACGGGUGAGUAAUACAUCGGAACGUGCCCGAGAGUGGGGGAUAACGAAGCGAAAGCUUUGCUAAUACCGCAUACGAUCUCAGGAUGAAAGCAGGGGACCGCAAGGCCUUGCGCUCACGGAGCGGCCGAUGGCGGAUUAGGUAGUUGGUGGGAUAAAAGCUUACCAAGCCGACGAUCUGUAGCUGGUCUGAGAGGACGACCAGCCACACUGGGACUGAGACACGGCCCAGACUCCUACGGGAGGCAGCAGUGGGGAAUUUUGGACAAUGGGCGCAAGCCUGAUCCAGCCAUGCCGCGUGCAGGAUGAAGGCCUUCGGGUUGUAAACUGCUUUUGUACGGAACGAAAGGACUCCUUCUAAUAAAGGGGGUCCAUGACGGUACCGUAAGAAUAAGCACCGGCUAACUACGUGCCAGCCGCCGCUGUAAGAC